CGUGAGGGGACCGGCGUGAGGGGAUCGGCGCUCGUGCGGUGGUGGCGUGGUUUGCGUGGGAAAGAAUCCUAAAGGUCAUCCUGUUUCACCCCCUGGUGUGGGUAGGGUCAACUUGCGCUAGACCAGAUUGCUUCGAGCACUGUCCAGCACGGCCUUGAACACUUCCAGAGAUGGGUCAGCCACAGCUGCUCCGUUCCACUCCCUCACCUCCCUCCCAAAGAAGAAUUUCUUCCAAAUCUCCAAUCACAGAAUCGCAGGAUCAGUAAGGAUGGAAAAGACCUUAGAGAUCACAGAGUCUAGCCUAUGAUCUAACACCACCCUCGACUAUGGCUCUAAGUGCCACAUUCAGUCUUUUCUUAAACACCUCCAGGAAUGAUGACUAAACAAAUCUAAACCUCCUCUCUGUCAGUGAGAAGCCAUUCCCUCUUGUCCUGCCACUACAUCACCUGGCAGUGGAGAAAAGUGAAGCGAUCCUGUCUUCCCUUUGUCCAUCAAGUCUCAUCUUCAGAGCUGUUGUGCUAAAGAGAGGAGAUUGUCAGCAGUUCACAACAAGAGAAAACAUGUUCACUCAAGGUCUUGCUGCUGGGGACAGAUGAGGCUUGGGGACAGCUGAAGCCACCUGCAGCCACAAGAGACACCCCUCAUCGAGAGCUGGAAUAAGGAAAUGGGUGCUGACAGCACGAGGGGAUGGGAUUGGGUCAUCACCUCUGCAAAACCUAUUGUACAUCUAACAUCUCAGGGAAAUAAAUAACAGGCAACUCCAGCAGAGAUGCUGAGAAGCUGGGAAACUGGCAGAGCAUUUCAGAUUUAUGGGAAAUUAAUUUAGCCCUGGAUGCUGAGAGCCAGCAAGGCCCUCUCCCCAGGACAGCCCAUACUGCUGGCCCAAGAUGUGGGGUCUUUGUCAGACUUCAGGUUUAACUUCUGAAAAUAAAUCACACUUGUACAGCAGAGGUGAAGCAGUACCUCUCCCAGAGCAGAGGACAGCCAGGAUCCUGGCACUCAGCAUCCCCUGUGCUGGCAGCCAAAGGGGAAGGGGAGGCACUGGAAAGGCUGCUGCUGCUUGGAGGCCAAAACAUAGCCCAAGAAAGUCUCUUCUUCAUCAGGACACAGAACAGUCCCAUGUUCCACAGCUCCAAGACAGGGAUUUCUUCCCACUUUCAUCACCCACACAGCAAGAGAAGCACCAAACACCCCCUCCAGAUGUGUCUUCACAAUGUUCAGUCAUAGACAGUGGUUAGAAGAAGGGGAUAUUUCUCUCCAACCUCCAUCCUUGACACUAGACACCCCUCUGGGUGGGUUUGGGGUUUUUCCAGUCCCUCCCUUAUUCCCAGCUGUUCAGGGUCUGUAUCUGGAGACAGAUGAGGGAAACCCAUGCUUUGUAUUCUCACCCUUUGGAGAGCAUUUCUGUGAUAACCAAUCCCAUUAGACAUCCCUUCAACACGAGUGUGCCCUCCUGGCCCAAACCCACCCCUGGGCUCACUGCCAGGGCUGUUUUCCAUGCCAGCCUGGCA